rnacentral:rRNA from 1 species
UGCCAGCCGCCGCGGUAAUACGGAAGGUGCGAGCGUUAAUCGGAAUUACUGGGCGUAAAGCGCACGUAGGUGGCUUGGUAAGUCGGAUGUGAAAGCCCUGGGCUCAACCUGGGAACUGCAUUCCGAACUGCUAGGCUAGAGUUUGGUAGAGGUGAGUGGAAUUUCCUGUGUAGCGGUGAAAUGCGUAGAUAUAGGAAGGAACAUCAGUGGCGAAGGCGACUCACUGGACCAAAACUGACACUGAGGUGCGAAAGCGUGGGUAGCGAACAGGAUUAGAUA